UAGAGUUUUGAUCAUGGCUCAGGAUGAACGCUAGCGGGAGGCCUAACACAUGCAAGCCGAGCGGUAGAGAUUCUUCGGAAUCUUGAGAGCGGCGUACGGGUGCGGAACACGUGUGCAACCUGCCUUUAUCAGGGGGAUAGCCUUUCGAAAGGAAGAUUAAUACCCCAUAAUAUAUUAACUGGCAUCAGUUGAUAUUGAAAGCUUCGGCGGAUAGAGAUGGGCACGCGCAAGAUUAGAUAGUUGGUGAGGUAACGGCUCACCAAGUCAGUGAUCUUUAGGGGGCCUGAGAGGGUGAUCCCCCACACUGGUACUGAGACACGGACCAGACUCCUACGGGAGGCAGCAGUGAGGAAUAUUGGACAAUGGGUGAAAGCCUGAUCCAGCCAUCCCGCGUGAAGGACGACGGCCCUAUGGGUUGUAAACUUCUUUUGUACAGGGAUAAACCUUUCCACGUGAGGGAAGCUGAAGGUACUAUACGAAUAAGCACCGGCUAACUCCGUGCCAGCAGCCGCGGUAAUACGGAGGGUGCAAGCGUUAUCCGGAUUUAUUGGGUUUAAAGGGUCCGUAGGCGGAUCUGUAAGUCAGUGGUGAAAUCUCACAGCUUAACUGUGAAACUGCCAUUGAUACUGCAGGUCUUGAGUGUUUUUGAAGUAGCUGGAAUAAGUAGUGUAGCGGUGAAAUGCAUAGAUAUUACUUAGAACACCAAUUGCGAAGGCAGGUUACUAAGCAACAACUGACGCUGAUGGACGAAAGC
rnacentral:rRNA from 1 species